rnacentral:lncRNA from 1 species
GCUGUAGUGAAGAUUUGAGAAGUGAAACAGAAAGCAAGUAAGAGAAUGACAAAGUAGGAGUCUGGGUGUACAUGAUCCCUGAAGAAUCCAUUUUUUUCUAUCAUUCCUUUUCAGGCUUCCAAGUAUUACCUUCAAACUAGUGAUUUGAGAAUUUCAGAAAAACACAUUCAAGGAGAGCGGCUUCCAAACUAUAACUUCUUUUUUUUUUACCUCUCCUAGAAAUCUGUAGUUUUACAUGUCUUGCUGACUCAGGAGAGGAAAGACAUCUUUGCCUCUUAACCAGUUGUCCUCGCCACCCCCUCAGCCCCGAACUGCCGCUGGCUCUGCAAAUCACAGAACUUAGACUGACCCUGCCGGCUUUGCAGCAGCAGGGCAGGCCUGAUGGUGAAGGGAGAUCUCCUGACCACUGAAAGGAGUCUUUUCUCAUUCUGGCCCAGUUCCCUAUCUGCGGGUUCAUCAUCUUUCAUAUCUCUCUGGUGGUGAGUGACUAUCCUUGAUUUCUGUGUUCUCCUCCAGACCACCUACAAAUACAACCUACUGCCAGAGGCACC